rnacentral:lncRNA from 1 species
CUAAAUUACUAAACACUUCCAUAAACAAUACCUUUUGUUUCUCAAAAGGUAUUGUUUAUAAAUGCAGAGAAUUUCUUAAGAGCAAGAUAUUUCUAGUCACGGUUUAAAUUGGUCCUUGUUUAUACAAUCGGCCCAUAUAGUUGAUAGGAGGCGAGAUCAAAGUUGAGUAGAUCUCCUAACAACAGAACCAUAAACAUCAAAAUUGACAAUUCCUGUUGCCAAUCCCAAUAAAAAGAAAACAUCAAAUGGAGUGAAUGGGAUCUGAGGAACAAUUCAAACCUCUUCCUCAACUUCAUGGGAUUGAUGGAGAUAUUGAAAGGCAAGGAUGGAUGACAUUUCUGAAAACUCAGAGACAGUCCAGUCUCAACAGAGCUUGUGUGUGCCAUUGUCCUUUUUAGAUGUAUUUUCCAGUGUUCUGUCUUGUAGCAACUAUCCAUCUAUUAUAAAUUUGUGGAACCAAGGAAAUCAGAAGAAAAAAAAUAAUCCUCUUUCUCAAAAAAUAUUGUUUAUAAAUGCAGAGAACUUCUUAAGGGCAAGAUAUUUCCAUUACAAUUAGUAUUUCAUUGAUAUUUCUUGAUUGCAAUUAUAAAUCAGUGUUGAUAUUUUAUUAUGAUUCUGUCUAUGUAAUUACUUAAUUGUAUAAUAAUUUGUGUAGGUUAU